GCACAACGCGAAGAACCUUACCUACCCUUGACAUGUCUGGAAUCCUUAAGAGAUUAGGGAGUGCUCGCAAGAGAACCGGAACACAGGUGCUGCAUGGCUGUCGUCAGCUCGUGUCGUGAGAUGUUGGGUUAAGUCCCGCAACGAGCGCAACCCUUGUCAUUAGUUGCUACGAAAGGGCACUCUAAUGAGACUGCCGGUGACAAACCGGAGGAAGGUGGGGAUGACGUCAAGUCCUCAUGGCCCUUAUGGGUAGGGCUUCACACGUCAUACAAUGGUCGGGACAGAGGGCUGCCAACCCGCGAGGGGAGCCAAUCCCACGAAACCGACUCGUAGUCCGGAUUGCAGGCUGCAACUCGCCUGCAUGAAGUCGGAAUCGCUAGUAAUCGCGGAUCAGAAUGUCGCGGUGAAUACGUUCCCGGGUCUUGUACACACCG
rnacentral:rRNA from 1 species